rnacentral:rRNA from 1 species
UCCGUAGGGUGCGAGCGUUGUCCGGAAUUAUUGGGCGUAAAGAGCUCGUAGGCGGUUUGUCGCGUCUGCUGUGAAAACCCGAGGCUCAACCUCGGGCCUGCAGUGGGUACGGGCAGACUAGAGUGCGGUAGGGGAGAUUGGAAUUCCUGGUGUAGCGGUGGAAUGCGCAGAUAUCAGGAGGAACACCAAUGGCGAAGGCAGAUCUCUGGGCCGUAACUGACGCUGAGGAGCGAAAGCAUGGGGAGCGAACAGG